rnacentral:rRNA from 1 species
CAGGCCUAACACAUGCAAGUCGAACGGUAACAGGAAGCAGCUUGCUGCUUCGCUGACGAGUGGCGGACGGGUGAGUAAUGUCUGGGAAACUGCCUGAUGGAGGGGGAUAACUACUGGAAACGGUAGCUAAUACCGCAUAACGUCGCAAGACCAAAGAGGGGGACCUUCGGGCCUCUUGCCAUCGGAUGUGCCCAGAUGGGAUUAGCUAGUAGGUGGGGUAACGGCUCACCUAGGCGACGAUCCCUAGCUGGUCUGAGAGGAUGACCAGCCACACUGGAACUGAGACACGGUCCAGACUCCUACGGGAGGCAGCAGUGGGGAAUAUUGCACAAUGGGCGCAAGCCUGAUGCAGCCAUGCCGCGUGUAUGAAGAAGGCCUUCGGGUUGUAAAGUACUUUCAGCGAGGAGGAAGGCAUUAAGGUUAAUAACCUUGGUGAUUGACGUUACUCGCAGAAGAAGCACCGGCUAACUCCGUGCCAGCAGCCGCGGUAAU